CUUUCUUUUGGAGAGUUUGAUCCUGGCUCAGGACGAACGCUGGCGGCGUGCCUAAUACAUGCAAGUCGAG
rnacentral:rRNA from 1 species